rnacentral:rRNA from 1 species
GGGGCGGGGAACCGCCGGACAGUUCGUGAGGUGUUGGCCCUCGCUAAAACCAACAUCCCCAAGCUUGUCUUUCUGUGUGAAACUAGGCAAGCUAGUGUGAAGAUGGAGAAGUUAAGAUGGAGAUUUGGGCUGAAGGGUUUCUAUGGAGUGUGUAGUUCAGGACUGAGUGGUGGUAUUGCACUUUACUGGGAUGAAGCUUUGUUGGUCACUGUU